AAAAACAUCGCCUUCGGGACAUUAUCGAAAGGUUCGGCCUGCCCGGUGAUUAAAUAAUUAAACGGCUGCAGUACUCUGACUGUGCAAAGGUAGCAUAAUCAUUAGCCUAUUAAUUGUAGGCUUGUAUCAACGGCUAGACGAUAAGGAAGCUGUCUCUUUUUAUAUUUCUUGAAUUUAGCAUUAAGGUGAAGAGGCCUUAAUAUAAUAGUGGGACGAGAAGACCCUAUUGAGCUUUAGCAAAAUAUAUAAAUUAAUAUAUAAAUUGUUUGGAUUGGGGCAAUUAUUUUUUUAAUAAAACAAAAAGUUAGUAUUUAGUUCAAACUAAUAAAAGGUCCAAAAAGUUUUGAAAUCGGAAUAAGUUACCUUAGGGAUAACAGCGUAAUUUUUCUCGAGAGUACACAUUGACAGAAAAGUUUGCGACCUCGAUGUUGGAUCAAAGAUACCUGGAUGUGCAGCCGCCUCCGAGGGUUGGUUUGUUCAACCAUAAAAACUUUACGUGAUCUG
rnacentral:rRNA from 1 species